AUACGAUGAAGAGUUUGAUCCUGGCUCAGGAUGAACGCUAGCGGCAGGCUUAACACAUGCAAGUCGAGGGGUAUAGCAC
rnacentral:rRNA from 1 species